UUUAUUUUUAGCUCUUUGCUUUAGCUACAUCCAGAAGCUUCCGGUUGUUCCCUUUCUUGUGUUUGAUCAUUGACAUUUCUCAGAAAGAAAAAAAAAACAUUCUGAUGCUACUUCCGCAGAGGAUGAAGUUUCGCUUUUGAAAAAGUGAAACUUUGAGCCCAGCGACGCAGAAACUUCCUGCAGUAGACGUGAGAGACCCACAAGAAGAAAUGGAUAGACGCCAUUUGUUAAGUGACCAAGAUGAAAACCCAGCACCGCAAUAUCAAAGUGUCCCCAGCUCAGGGCCUGUGGAUCCAAACCAGCCAGAGGCUGGCGGGGCUACAGCGCCCCCUGCAGACUUGAUGGAUAAAGUGCCAGGUUAUGAAGGCAUAGGAAUUGGAGGAUAUGACCUGCCUUACCAGGGUCCACCCCAGGCUCCAGGUCCCGGAAGCCCGGGCCCACCAGUCGGUGACUGGCGAAUUCCCUCCAUCAGCGAAGAGGUGGCGAAAGAGGCUUUUCUCGAGUAUGCUGCCAGCAAGUGCUGCUACAGCAAAGGCCCCGCGAAAGAGAUGGUCUUCACUGACCUGCAGGCCCACAACACAUACAGGUACCGGCUGGAGACCUUCACUGAAUCCCGCUCUACGAAAUGGGCCAGCGAGCCGUACACGGGUCAGAUAGUGGAUGGGUAUAUGGGCGUGCCUCCGGGACCCUGGGAUAUCGCUGUUAGUUUUCCAACCUUGUUUCAGGACAACAAAAAGGAGGUCCGCGUUCCCCACACCUCCUCUGUAAAGGGUUGUCACUCUUGCAUGAGUCUCGGCCGAAAUCCUUGUAGGAAGUGUGUGACGUCAGGAAUGAUGCAGUGCUGGGUGUGCAACGGCUCCGGAAGGCGUUUCUCUGACGACCGCUGCAGCCACUGCAACGGCCUCGGCCGCGUACGGUGCACGUCCUGCGCGGGCGUCGGCUCCAGCACCUGCGGGACAUGCCAGGGGAAGGGACAGCUCCUGUGCUUCAUUAAGCUCGUGGUGAAAUGGAAAAACAACGUGUUUGAGGGUGUAAUAGACAGGCAGUCGGGUUUGCCGAUGGACCGGAUCAGCUCCGUUACCGGGGAGACGAUGUUCACUGACAUGAGCCCUGUGGUCUACCCGGUGACUGGUUUCCCAGAUAACGCCAUCAACCAAUCAGCAGACAGGGCUGUGAAAGAACACCAGGCCCAGUAUUUCUCCUCCUGCCGCAUCCUGCAACAGAGGCAGACCAUUGAACUGAUCCACGUCACACGUGUGCACUACAGCUGGAAGGAGAAGACUCACAUCUACUUUGUGUACGGGGCUGAGCACAAAGUCUACACCGAUGACUACCCUGCCAAGUGCUGCUGCUGCUCCAUCCUGUGAACACACCACACGCGCUCCGUAUUCACACCCUUCCUGCAGUCAUCCCAGUACCCGCGUUUCCAGAGCUACGCUAACGCCCGGCGAGCUAAUGACAGACGAGCGAAUAACAGGCGCGCUAACACCUGGCGCGCUAACACCCGCUGAGCAGCUUUGCCAGCGCAUCGGCUGUGCCUCCUCCCUCUUUCACUUGGUCCUCAAUGGGCCAGUUGACGUAAAGGAGUGUGGUCAUGAGGAGCUAUAAAAACACUUCCCUGGCGGCUUUUUCCCACCGUAAAUGAGACGUUAGUGGCGAGGAUUCGCUGUGAGGGAGGGGUUUUGAGUUUCUCUGGCAUCCCCGAGGCCUGAUAAUGAAUGGGUGAGGAAACAUGGGCCAGCUGUCUGAACCUUCACCAUGAAGCUAGCCCUGGCUAGCAUCACUGGAAACGCGGCUACUGACAUGAUGACACAACUCUUAAUCAUCUAGUGCUCAAGAGCACUUAACCUUCUUCGGUCUAUGAAAGUAGAGUCUUAGGCUGUUUCCACUACUGAAUAUUAAAGAACUGCAAAAUAAUUGUUACAAUUUUCCUAAACUUUUCAAUCAUUUUUCAGGCUAUACUACUUAUACACAUUCAAUCAUACAUACAUACAUACAAUCAGUUGUGAUUAUUGCUGGUUUGCUGUAAUGCUGAUAAAACGUCUUUAUCCAGUAUGGAAGUGUGGAUCAGUGGUGAAGAUAAUUUUUGUACUGGAGAUUACUGUGCUUCUGAGAGUUUUAGCAGUUGUUUAAAUGUACCGGCUUAUUUGGGAAUUCAUAUUUUUUCAAGAAACCAAAAAUCUUUUUUUUAAACCUGAUUUUUUUGUUCUAAUAAAUGUGUGCUUGUGCAAUAUA